rnacentral:ncRNA from 1 species
ACGCAAGCUAUGAAAGGAUCUAGUAGUUCGCUAUCCCUGUUGAAGAGAGCCGAUGGUUGGUGGGAAUCGGUACAAAUAGUUGAAUGAAUUACCUCCUGGAGCUUUUGCUGUGAACGUUAUUUGUAGCAGCAAACGGAAGAACCGUUAUCGAAAUGAAGUGGAGAAAUAGAUUCUCAAGCUUGGGUGGUACCGCGCUUAAUAGCGUCCCUGCA